AGUAUUAGACUACAACCAUUAGUAUUUAUCCAAAUAACGAAAUAACUAAGCGUUUGAAAUCAAUACCAAAUAAAUACUUCACAUGGGUUUUCAAUGCUAUAUUUGUAAAUUUUAUAAAUUCUAAUUUAUUUUUAAGAAAAAUCAUAAGUUAAAUUAUACACGCUUAAAUUUAAAUUAUACAAGCAUAAACUAUAAUUUUAAACGCAUAUAUAUAUAUAUAGAUUUUAUAACAUAAAUGUUUAUAUUAGCUUAAUAUAAGUUUUCCAUGUUUAGUUUUAAAAUUUGAAAAUUUAUUAUUGGAUAUGAUUUUUUUAAUAUAAUUAUUUUAAAAAUUGAUAUAUAAAUUAUAAAAUAUAAAUUUGAAUAUUAGUUUAAUAUAAAAUAGUUGCUAAUAUGAAUAAAAAAAUUGUUUCUAAACGGUUUUCCAUAUUAUAACUUUAAAUAUAUGAAUAUAUUUAGAUGUUAUACCAUAAAUAUUUCAUAUAUUUUUUCGUGCUAUGUUUUUUUUUUAAUUUUGGAGUUAUAUAAUUAGAUAUAUUGUUCAAUGUUAGAAAUAGAGUGGUUUAUAAUGGUGCAGUCAGACGUGGAUCAUAUAAGACAAAUAGACUUAUCGACUGCAAUAUAGAAUAUCGGGGCGGACAGUCUCGCACACAGCAAAGAAACAAUCGUCGUUUGUUGUUCAUAUGAAUGCAUAGUUAUCAGUUUGGUUUGCAAAGUAUAUUGAGUCUGUUUAAGUCAAUAACAAAAAGAAAAUAAGGCAAAAGCAGCCACGCCACUACUCUAUUUUAAGUUUCACAUCUUUGUUAGCUAGCUUCAAAUAAGUACACAAUAAUGGACCUUUAAUUCCAUACACGUGUAAACUAUGAGGUUGAUAGAAAUUACUUCUUCUGUUUAAGUGUCAAUUUAACAUUUUUUACAGAUUAAAAAAGUGAAUGAAUGUAAUUAAGUUUCUAUUAAUUACACAUGGUUGAACGUAUAUGAAAUAAAAUUAUUUAUAAUAUCAAUGGAUUUGCAAUUAAUUUAAACUGAAAAUAAAUAAAAUUUGUAGUGAAAUUCUAAAGAAAUAUUUUUAGUGUAACAAGAAAGAAAAUGUUAGAAAGAAACUCAAUUCAAUAUAAAACAGAAGGAGUAUCAACUAAACAUUUGUUCCAAUAGCAAUAUCAACCGCAGGUCGCCACUCUUUUAAUGGCUGAGACAUAUGGGCUGGUUCCCAAUGCUUCUUGUUGAUGUCAAAAAAUUGAGAUCAAAGCUUUCUACUGUUGUUGCAGUCAAAAAAAUUGAGCAACACUUUUAAAAGCCACUCUAACCGUCAGAAUGGGACACGAUCAAAUUUUUUUUAGAGUUUGGAUCAUACAGCGAUAAACCGCAAGGUCAUUAUUCUACAAGCUUAAUUGGAUUUAACUAGUUAGAUUAAUCUAACUAUGCAACAAGAGAAAAAUAUAUAUUUUCAAAUAUUUAAAUGCGUGGAUAUAAGUAAAACAAAUAUGCAACGAUCUACUUCACAUUUUAAGAUUUGCUGAAUCCAAAAAAAGUUGUGCAAUAGUCUCAAAGGUAUUUUCAUUUUUUUUAAUUUUGUUAGGAAAAAGCUUUGAUCGGCGGCAUGAGAGUUACAUUUGAUUAGAUUUAAGUUAGAAGUCUAAUUCAAAAAUAUUACCAAUCAAAAAUACAUGAUUUACAAUUUUGAGUUACCUCUUUAGUAAAAUUAAUAAAUCGAGUAUUAGCUCAACAUCGAACAAAUUUUCAUGUAUUAGAAAUUGAUUUAGCAUUAUCUUGGUUUUUUUAUUACUACAGUUACUUUCCAUUUUCUAACAAUUUUAAUUUUUUAUACAUCCAUGUGCACGUUUAGUUUGUUUUAGUUGGUAAAGCAGGUUGAAAAAUGUAUAUAUAUAUAUUUAUUUAUAAGUUAGCCAAAAUGUUUAUAAGCUAUUAUUUCCAUUUGAAUUAUUUAAACAAAACUAUUUCUAUAAUUUUAGUUUCUAAUUCUAUUUGGUAACUAAAAUUUACAACAUAAAAAUUAUAUGUAAAUAUAUAUAGGUAUUUUUUGUUAUAAUGUAUAUAUAAGUAUUUUUAUUUAAUUGUAAUUUAUUUUUAGUUAGUAUAUUUUAUUCAUUUAGUUUAAUAAUUUUUAAAAAUUUAAUAUGUUUAUUAAAUUAAUAAUAAAUCUUAUAAUUAUUGAUAUUCAUAUUGUUGAUUAAGAUAAUACAUAUUGCAACUUAUACAUCAAAGAUGUUACCAAUCAGUAAUUUUGAAAAUAUAAUAAUUCAUAUUUUUAGAAAAAACUUAUUACAUAAAUCUACAAUUUCUACUACAUAGUUCUUACUGCGAUUUACAUCGAAUUAUAAAUUUUAUUGUAGCUCAACUCUAAUUCAACAUGUCAUAGUUAAAAAUAACUUCAUCGGCUUUCGUUAAAGAUCUUAUAGAAUUCUCAAAUGUGAAUUCUCUCUUUAAAAAGAGAUUCAUUAAAUUAAAUUUUCUUUAUCUAUAAAAUCUUUGUGAUUUAAAACGAAUUGUGAUGAUAUUUACAAAAAAUAUUUUGAAAUGUAAAAAGAUAUUUUUUUUUGAUAAAUUGAAGUAUGAGAUUAGAAAUGUAUAAUUUAAUAGAUAAUGAAAACAUGCAAUGAAUAUUAAAUAUUUAAAUAAUACAAAACUAAUUUUAUUUAAUAUAAAUUAAUAAAUAAUUAUUAAAAUAUUAGCUCAAAGUAAAUAUUACGCUUUUCAAACAAAUAUUUAGCACAUUUUUAUAGAAAUUUGUAUCAUGUUUUCUCAAUAGAAAUAGACGUUUUAAUUGCAUGUUCAAACUGAAGUAUUUAGAAAAAUAUGUUUCUACAUAUUUUGCAUUUUUAAUAAUUAUUUCAAAAUUGUUUUAAAUUUUCCAUGUAACACCUAUACCUUUUUCUAUUAAAAUAACAAAACGUAGACGGAUUUAAAUUAAAUUAUUAAAAUAAUGUUAGGCAUGAUUAACCUAUGAAUACUGUAAUUGGUUAAGAGUAGAACGCCAAUAUCAUGUCCUCAGCCUCUAAUUUUGGAUAAAAAAUCAUGUAUAAAAUAAAUAAUUUUUUUCAAAGUAUUAUGAUAUCUAAAAUUACAUAAAAAGAAAAAGAAAAAAAUUUGAUUAUCAAAAAAAAUAAAUUAAUUUUUUUUUUAAUUUUGAGAAAUAUACACAACUUGUACUAUAAGUAUAAGCUUUUUAAUUCUAAAAAUGUGGGUUAAAUUCUUCUAACUCAAAAGGUAAAACAUUUGAUAGCUGCCAAAAUAGAAGAACAUACCUAGAAGAUCAUAUUCAUCGACAUGUAUAAUAGGCUAAUUCCAUGAUCACUAUCAACUAGACCAAUAUCUCUACUCAUGAUAACACUCACGAGUCUAUCUGUUGGCUCAUGCCACGACUUCUUACUCAUAAGUUCAUAAAUUAUAUUGAAAAUUUUAACAUCUGGCCCGACUAUACGUCUUUUAAACUAUGUAUCCACAAGGCCACACGUCUGCCUUGGUCAUGCGUCUAUACUUGUCAGUAAGUGAUCAAACCAUAUGUAGUUUACUUUAUUAAAACCUAAAGAGAAGAACUGCCAACACUCAAAAAUUACCGAGUAAUUAUGUGGUUCAUCAAUUUUGUUCACAGAAUUGAACUACAUGCAGUUCAUUAUUACUAAUAACGUAAACAUUUACUCGGAACGAAAAAAUUAUUAGCUUUUAGAAAGAAAAAAAUAGAGAGAUUAUUUUCAUGGUUUAUUGAUGGGGCAGAGAAUCCAAGCAAAAGCACUAACUGUCAGCACAAAACGACAAUCUCACAAUGUGCAGUUAGCUGGCAUUUUUGUUGUUUUGAUUUGCAUUUGUUUUUCCUUUUUAGGUUAUAGUAGCCUUUUUUUUUUGAGCAACUUAUAGUACGCAUAGAACUUUAUCAUAAACUAACCAUGCAUAGAACUUAUCAAAAAUAAAUAUAAUCUAGUCUUUUCUUUUUGAAACUUAUAGUAUAGUAUAGUCAUUUAAUAACCUAUUCAAUAAUAUCAGCAUUAUUAUUUUAGAUGCAGUACAAAAUCAAACAUGUCUUUCAAUCUACAACAAAAAAAAAUUAACGAUCGAAUCGCAAUGAAUUGGUUGGUUUUCUUUUAUUUUCUGUGAUUAGUUUUUAGUGUUAAGUUUAAUUUAUAAAACAUACAUCCCUCUGUUCUUUUUUAAAUGACGUUGUAAAAUUUUUAUUUUGUUCCACUAUAUUUGUCGUUUCCAAACUUCUAGACAAAAAAUAACAAAAUUUAAUUUUUUUUUUACCCUUGCUCUAUAUCUGUCGUAAUUACGGUCAGACUAAAUUAAACAAAUAUAAAAACUUGUAAAUUAGUACUCCAUCCAUUCUUUUAUAUAUCUACAAGUUCAGAAAAUAUCACAUAAAAUCCAACUCAAAAAAAAAUUCUUUGACAAGAAUUUACAUAAAUAAUAACAUAAUCUUCAUUGACCAAAUUAUUAAGCCCGUAAGUUUUUUUUAUCAACAUAUUAUAUAUAUAUAUGGCUGAUCAAAUAAAAAAUAUCAGAGAUAUCAUACAAAUGUAAUAAUAAUAAUAAGAAAAUAACAAGAAUUUAACUUAGAAAAGGUCAAAUAAAAUAAACAACAAUAGCCCCUGGUUAUCGCCGAAAGUUGCAAUUAUUUGAACUUUAUUCAAUAAUAUUUGCAAAGAAAGCAUUGAUUCUUAUGUCGUUUCAAUAGAAAAAUGUAUUAUGAACAAUAAGAAAAUUCUUAACACAAUUAUAAAGAGUGUUAUAGUGACAAUACUAUAUCGUUUUCAUUGCUCAUAGUAAGGAAUGUCGAAUGUUAUUCUUCGUCAAAAUUUGUACUUCAAAUUUUAAUCUACUUAACAAACAUUUCAUAUAGUUCUUUCCCGAUAUUUAAUUCAGUUGUUUUUCUGUCAACCAAUUAUUUUUAUUUAACCAUGUGAUAAGUUAUCACUCAUUUGAUAACUUGCAUAUGACAAUUGUGAAUCUCGGCCUGACGAGUAGACAUAUUAUAUGAUUUAAACUGACAAUGUGGAACUUGGAACACGGAAUCAAAUGAAAAACGUUGAUGUACAUAAAUAUAUUAUACGAUCUAAGUACGCGUAACGAGUCAAAGACCAUAAGUAGAAAACCUGGCUUGUGUAAACGUACGUGUCCCGGACGUGGUAUACUUGUUUUGACGAUCCAAGUAUAAGACGUGGAUCUAAACCAUACCUAUAUCCAAAAUAUUAUUAUUGUUAAAUCAUUUUUUAUUUCUGAGGUUGUUAAGUCAUAUGCACCAAACACUUUUUUGAAAAUAAUCAGUUGAUAGACUCUUUUAGUAAUUUUCUCAAGAUUAGGUUAUUUUUGCUAAGUAUUUAAUAUUUUCAUAUAUAAUAUCUUCUCUUGAAUAACUAAGAAAAUUUAGAUCUGAAAACACGUACAUCUUCUCAGGAUAAAUCUCAAACCAUGUUAAAUUAUUUUUUUCCUUGGAGAACAUACAUUUUCUAACGAGAAUCAAAUCUCCGAUCCUUUAAAUCUGUACUAAGUGAUCCAAGAGUUUUACUCAGCAGGCCAGCUCCCCGAUAAUUUAUAUUUGUGACAUUGUUUUGUGACCCUAUACCAUUUUAAUUAUUAUUAACCUGAAAGCCUAUUAGUAAUGUGUAGGGUUGUUUAAUAGGGGACACACAGAGCAAACUCUUUCUGCAUACGAACAAUCUCUACUUUUACAACCAGGUGAGGUGAGCUUUCUUGACAGUCUCAUACAGCUUCUGCAUAUUACCAAUAAUUCCUGCCUACUUCCCAUAUAGGCAAGGCAUCUGUAAAGCUUAAUGCAUAGCAAAUAAAUGGUAAUGUAUUCGUAAGAACCUUGAUAUGAACCGUACAAAAAUGUACCUUUGACUGUCCGUCAAUAUAUCCUGGAAAAGUUUACCACCCUCUAAACCCUGAAACUAUCUGAGUCAAAUAUAUUUAAGUAUCAUAUUAAAUGUGUAGGUAACAAAUCUUUCUUUAAAACGCUAGCCCAAAUCAUUGAGAUAGACUGUAGUUUUAGGUUUUUGUUUGCUAACCAAUGACGUUUAAAAUUGUGAAAAUAAAAUCAACCAAUUUAUGGGCAAAGUCGUAAUAUAAUAAACCAAAAAAAAAGUUGCAUAUUGAUUCUAUAGUCUACGUAGUAUGAACACCCUAAAUCUUAUUAGCUGGUUUGAACAUAUUGUGCUGACAAAAAAAAAAAAUCUGUUGACCACAAUAACCAUAAAUUUGCUAAAUAAAUAAUACUAUUACUAAGUUAAAAACUUCUUCUGAUGCUAUAUUUUGGCCGAAAGGUUGCGGAAUGAAUAAGCAACCAAAUACGACCACGGAAAAUGAUAUUUUAAACAGGAAAAAGAACAAAAUAAACAUAUAUUAAUACAACAAAUGAUAAUUUUGUGAAUGGAAAGCUGGAAUUCAUUGUGUAUAUAGUGAUGUCAUGAGCAUUCCUUUUCAAUAUCACGACGCCAAUUCAUUAUAAUGCAGUCUUUUCAGUAUUUGGAUAGCUAUACCUCCGUACUAGGUUUUCUACUACAAUACAAGCCUUAAUAAUAAUAGCGUGGUCUAACCGACCCAAAAAGAUGUUAACCCUUUACCAGUUCCUUUAUGUGUUUAAUUUGUCGCCAGCACAGCUGCAAACACCGUUACCACGGCUGCCACCCCAAAGAGAAAAAAAAAUGAUGUUAUUUUAUAUAGACAUUAUUAAUAACUACGACAAUAAAAAAGAUAGUGGUGAUAGUGUAUUGGUAGUCUUAGUGGAUUAGUUUUGUUGUAAUCUGGGUUUAAAGUUUCCUUUGAUAUGAAAUUUUACUUUUCGAAUAAAAGCUUUUAAAGAGUAACUUUGAAUAUGUGUUAGACUUUCUUUUUUGAAAUUUGAAAGGAUUAUCUUUUAUCAAAAAACCCUCCAUCUUUUCUCUAGUUUUUUUUUAGUUUACUUAUUUUUUUUCCGGCGUUCGCUUGAGCUCUGUCUAUGAAUCUUUAAUUUUUUAAUUUUCUUUCUUCUAACUUUGUGUGGUGUUCUUCUUUGCAGCAGAGGGAGAUAUCUCUUUCGCACUCAACGGUCCAGAUCUAUAGAUUCUGAGUAAGAUCUGAUGGUGCAUGGUGUUGUCAGUGUGCUUGAAGAUGGUCGACAAUGCCCGAGGCAUUGGGUUGUCACUCCUCUGGUCGUCUCUUCCCAGUGUGGUGUUAAGCUGGUUGCGGAGGCGUCCUCAUCGUGAGCUAGGGUUCGAGAUUUGUGGAUCUCUUGUCUCUCUCCUCCUGCUUCACUCUCUUCCGAUGGUCUCCAAUAUAAGCGCAUGAAGUUUCCCUAUGUGUGGGGUCGUCUCUUACUUGUGGCAGCGUGUGGGAGAGGUUGACUUCUCUACAUGCAUUUGUGACAUGUUGGCGCUUGUAGGUGUUAAUUUCUCUCCAAAAUGGUAUGGGCUCGGUGUUGUGGCGAACCUUAUCAUCUUCAAUACAAGAAAACAGCGGCAUACCGAGAGAAAAAAAUAUCGGUAUGUCGUCGGAAUAACAUACUGACGAAAAAAGUCCUCGGAAAUAACUCCUCGGAAAUUCAUUUUUCCUAAUCCCUCGGAAAUUUCUGACGGAAUUCUGAGGAAAUGAAUUUCCGAGGAAACUCCGAGGACCACCAGUUCGUCGGAAAGGUCACGGAAAAUUCCGAGGAAGAGUCCCUCGGUAUAUUCCGACUACUUAUUCCGAGGAAAUGUUCGUCAGAAAUUUUCGAGGGUCCAUUUCCUCGGAAUUUCAAAAAAAAUUAUUUUUUAAAAAAAAAUUAAUUUUUUUUUAAAAUUAAAAUUUUUGAAAUUUAAAUUCGAAAAUAUAAAAUUAAAAUUAAAAUUGAAAACAUAUUAGAUAAUAUUCAAAGUUGUACAAAUAAAACAUUCCGAGUUUUCGAAAAAAAAAAACUACGGGUCUUGCACGUUCGGGAACACCUCGUUCGGGUACAUCCUCUUCAUCAUCUCCAUCAUUUGCUCGUUCAGCCUCUUCUGUGCCUCAUAGCCCGCCUGUUGAGCCGCCAUCUGGGUCUCCAACACAGAUAUGCGAUCAUCAUUGUCCUUCAACUGAGCCGUAAGUACUUCUGGAUCAACAAAGGGCGGUGGUGCAGAAAAAGGAGCAGCCGACCGGGAGCGACGACCCAAACCGACCAAACGUCCCUUCUUCUUUGGAACCGACUGAAAUAGAAAAUAGCCAAAUUUAAAUAAUAUAAAAAUGAUAAAAUAAAAAUCAAGAAAUAAAUGAAUUGAACUUAAAAAAAAAAAGAACUUGCCGAUUCAACGAUUUCGUUGAUUCGAAUCCGGGACAAGUUGGUCGAAGCCGUCGAAUCGUCAUCCUCGGUUAGAAGCUGAGACACUUCGUCUUGCACCUGAGUUUGGACCAGGGUGACCACGUCCCUCACAAGACCAUCAUCAAUUUGGCCGGUCUUCUUGUUGGUAUACGCCCUCUUCAUUAGGGCGAGAUCAUUAACCGGCUCGCCAUCAUUUUCUUCUGCCUUGAAAAAAACAUAAAUUAAACAAACAUUAGAAAUUUGAAGAAAUGCACAAAAAAUAAAAUUUCAAAACUUAAAUAAUUGAAGAAAAAACGGCUGAACUUACCAU